GUUGCUGGGGGUUAUGGCCUGCAACCCAGGCAUGUACCCUGGCUGGGAAUCGAACCUCAAUCUUCUGGUUCACAGGUCCGUGCUCAAUCUGCCGAGCCAUGCCAAUUAGAGUACAAAUGGGAAUUUAAAGCUAAGAAAAGAAAAAGUAGUAAACAUGUUGAUAUAUGCAAAAAAGCACUAGCUGUGAAGACUACUAUCUAACUAGUAAAAAUCCCUUUUUUUGUUAAUUCUGAGAAGAUAAAAGCUAUGUCUUAAUCACUUAAUUGCCUUCAUUAGGGCCUAGCACAGUGGACUCAAUAAAUACUUGAUAAUCAAAUGAAUACAUAAUGAGUAUAUGAAAUGGGUGUCUCAUUUCAAUGUCAGGUCAAAUUCCCUGCUUCACUAAUGAGGAAAUUGAAAAUACAGAAGACUAACCAUAGUAUUCUAUGACAUAUUGAACCUGAUUUACCCUUCAAAGAACAGGAAAGACAUUACAAAUGUGAGGAAUAUUAUAGUUUCUCCUAUCGUGGGUCUGAGUCUACCUAACAACAGAAAGUGCCUAUAAGCUGGAGAAAUUAGUUAGUUAUAAGAUUUUCUCUAUUAGUUGUCUCCAGCCUCCCCGUUUCCUAAGCAUCACAAACUUAUGAGGUGGUAUUCACCUAUUUAUUCAAGAAAUAUUAAUUGAACAACUUUUACAAGCCAAAUUCCAUAUCAAAUCUUGAGAAUGUAGCAAUGAGGAAGAUAUAUCUAAUCCUUGCUCUCAGAGUUUAUAGUCCAGCUGAUAGGAAAGUCACUAAAUGAGUAAUUUUACAUUAGAAGAAUAUAGGAAGUCAGCAAAUAUAUGCUCUUGUUUACUGUGUGCUAUAUGUUAUUACAUGAAACAAAUAUGAGAGCUAGCUAUCUGCUCUCCAGUUUAUAAUCCACUACAAGUGACACCAAGUGAUUAAAAAUAUGUGAGGCAAUAUAUAGCAACAUAAAGAUUACAGGGAUAAAUAAGUUUAAACAUUUGGUAAAGAGUGAAACUGCUAAUACUCUUGCUGAAAAUAGAGUAGGGAAAGAUAAGAUAUAAAAAGUUAAUAUAGAUUCCUCUUUCUUAAAUUCUGAGAAAUACCUUUUCCAGAAAUGCUAUAAUUUUUCAAUUCAGCAUAAUGCAAAAGAUCAUAGAAAAUAAUUUGGAAAUAUCAUCCUUAAGUUUUAGUUAUGA